GGAGAGUUGGCUGAGUGGUCGAAGGCGCACGAUUGGAAAUCGUGUAGGCGUGAUGAGCGUCUCUAGGGUUCAAAUCCCUAACUCUCCG
rnacentral:tRNA from 1 species